rnacentral:rRNA from 1 species
UGCGUAGGUGGCGCCGUAAGUCGGGUGUGAAAUUUCGGAGCUUAACUCCGAAACUGCAUUCGAUACUGCGGUGCUUGAGGACUGGAGAGGAGACUGGAAUUCAUGGUGUAGCAGUGAAAUGCGUAGAGAUCAUGAGGAAGACCAGUGGCGAAGGCGGGUCUCUGGACAGUUCCUGACACUGAGGCACCAAGGGCCAGGGGAAGGCAAACG